UACGUAGGUGGCGAGCGUUGUCCGGAAUUACUGGGCGUAAAGGGUGUGCAGGCGGAUAUUUAAGUGAGAUGUGAAAGACCCGGGCUUAACCCGGGCAGUGCAUUUCAAACUGGAUAUCUAGAGUGCAGGAGAGGAGAACGGAAUUCCUAGUGUAGCGGUGAAAUGCGUAGAGAUUAGGAAGAACACCAGUGGCGAAGGCGGUUCUCUGGACUGUAACUGACGCUGAGGCACGAAAGCGUGGGUAGCAAACAGGAUUAGAUACCCUGGUAGUCCACGCCGUAAACGAUGAGUACUAGGUGUAGGGGGUAUCGACCCCCCCUGUGCCGCAGUAAACACAAUAAGUAUUGCACCUGGGGAGUACGAUCGCAAGGUUGAA
rnacentral:rRNA from 1 species